CCAGGCUUUUGAAAGUGUUGGGCAAGUUUCCUUUGAGAAUGAGGACUGAGAGGUCAGAUAUGGAGUGAUCCCUUUGUGCAUAAAGUGUUCAGCCAC